GGUUUUGGUCGCCCUGAGAAGGGCGCCAAGAGGGAAUCAGGUGCAAGUCCUGAGCAGUCCCGCUGCUGUGAGCCUCAAUAGGUUACACAUCCAACGAGCCACUGUGCGCCGCCAUAGGCGUAUGGGAAGGCGGAUGUGUAGGAGGCAAGCCAGAAGACCUGCCAAAGCCG
rnacentral:ncRNA from 1 species